rnacentral:rRNA from 1 species
GAUGAACGCUGGCGGCGUGCCUAAUACAUGCAAGUCGAGCGAACAGACGAGGAGCUUGCUCCUCUGACGUUAGCGGCGGACGGGUGAGUAACACGUGGAUAACCUACCUAUAAGACUGGGAUAACUUCGGGAAACCGGAGCUAAUACCGGAUAAUAUAUUGAACCGCAUGGUUCAAUAGUGAAAGACGGUUUUGCUGUCACUUAUAGAUGGAUCCGCGCCGCAUUAGCUAGUUGGUAAGGUAACGGCUUAUCAAGGCAACGAUGCGUAGCCGACCGGAUAGGGUGAUCGGACACACUGGAACUGAGACACGGUCAAGACGCCUCCGGGAGGCAGCAGUAGGGAAUCGUCCGCAAUGGGCGAAAGCCUGGCAGAGCAACGCCACGUGAGUGGUGAAAGUCUUCGGUUCGUAAAACUCUGUUAUUGGGGAAGAACAGAUGUGUAAGUAACUAUGCACGUCUUGACGGUACCUAAUCAGAAAGCCACGGCUAACUACGUG